rnacentral:lncRNA from 1 species
AAUCAUAAUUUUUUUCACUUGAAACAGCAGAAACUCAGAUAUGAAACAGUACCUGAGGAUCGGCGAUCGGUUUCCGCUUCUCUACGUAGGCAUGGGGAUCCGCAGAGGCCAGAGCAGCCCUUUCCUGCUGUUCCCGCUUGAGGUCCUGUGAGGGCUUCACCCAGAGGAAGUAGGCUAGCGUACCAGCCACCACCCAUGACGCCAGGUUGCUUCCUCCUCUCAGGCCUCCCGUCGAAUUCGAUACGAAGGACCUCACAUUUCCCAAUCUUCUCUUCCAUGUGCUCGUCAUUGAUGUCAAUUUCGUCGCCUCUCUCGCCGAAAUGGGGAUUCGGGAUUUAUAGGGUUCUUUAUUUCUCUGAUCCCCCUUUGCAUGAUAUAUGUAAUUUCCAAACUAUAACACCGAAACGGUGGAGGCAGGAGGGCCUCCUCAAGUAAAGAAGAAUUUUAGGCCUCUUGGGCCACUCUUUUAAGUUGGUUGGACUGGGGCCUCUUGGGCCACUCUUUUAAGUUACUUGGGGAUUCCACGAUCGUAAAUAAUUAAAGGAUAAUUACAUGAGAAAAACGGUGACUAUAAUAUUUCGAUUUCUCCAAAACCUUUAGCAUAAUUCUUUUAAUAUUUGUAAACCAUGAUCCAUGGGUCCACUAUUUAAGAUUAAUAGAAUUAUCUUUAAGUAGUGGCCUUGCCCAGGCUAAUCUAUUGUAUUGUCUUAAACUUUUAUUACCACAAUAAUUGAUUUUAGGAUAUACAUUCGAGUUCUAAUAAUCUCUCACCGGCACUAAAAAUUAAUCAGUGUCUCAUUAAACCAAUGACAAAUAUACCAAAAUUUUCAUAUUGCUAAGAUAAAUGUAUAAGGAGAAACCGUCAACGAUGAAUGUAUAGGUAUAUGGAGAAAACACAUCUAUGAAGGACAAAGAGAGAAUAUGUUAAAGAGAAUAUUGUCUUUAUAAUGUGUUACAGAACAAAAAAGUUAUCUUCCAUAAGGAAUAUUGUUAUUCUUUUCAACUUUGAUUGUAGUUGUAGUGGACAAUAAGAAUAUUAUUAUACUGUGAAAUUAUAAAGUACAGAUCUAUUUGGUAAGUACAUCUUCAGCACUAUUUUUGGAAGUCUAUUAAAUAGUAUAGAGUAUGGAUCUCUAUCUAUAUACUAUAUUUUUGUUUGUUUUUUUGUUUUUUGUUUUUUGUAAAAUGAAGACAACUGGUGGCAAGUCACGUUAUCCACCUAUUACGGGGGCUGAGAAUACUCACAUAGGCAUUUCAGCAUUUCUCUGGCCACAAGUCUAACUUCCAUACCAGUUUGAACUCGAGACCUCCAAUUUUUAGUAUUUAAAAAUCAAUGCAUUACAGUUAAGGGAGUGGGUUGGAUGGUCAACCUAUCCUAACUCAACCUUUACAAUUCGGAUUUGGAGUGGGCCCAGUUCAUGCGGUUUUAGUUGGGUUUUAAUUAGAUUCGGGUUUAUUCGCGUUGGGUUCGUGUUCAUCCAACUUUAUCGAGUUCAAUCAUAUAACACCGAAUUUUGCAUGAUUUUUCAAAUUUGAACCAAACAACGUCAAUAUUAGUUAAACUUUCAUGUACACAUCAUCAUCCACACAAAAGCUAAAACAAACAAGUUGGAGACUAUUUCUAAUGUUUCAACCAUGCAAAGUUGAAAGUUAAAUUAUAAGACGUACCAAAACUUCAACCAAAAGAAAUGUGACGUACCAAAACUUCAACCAGAAAAAAUUUAAAAGUAAAACUUUCAUUCAUUAUCAUUAUGAAAAACGACAAUAAACCUUACAUAACUUAUAUAAUAUGAAAUGGGAUGGGUAAUAUGUGCACGAGCGAAUUCGGGCUCAAAAUCAGGUUGAGUUUUGGUUGACAUGGGCGGACAAUACAUCCACCCAACCCAACCCAAUAAAUGAAAGAGUUGAGGUCGGCUUGGAUUUGGACGAGUGUUUCUUCAUUCUAACUUGCUUGAUCGGAUUUAAAAUCGAGUUGAGUAUGUGCAGAUUCGGGUUGACCAAGCCCAAGUUGCACCCUAAUUACAGUUAUUUCAAUUUGAUUUUAUAUGCACACCAUGUGUGGAAGUUGCUUGCAUUUUAUUAUCUAUCUAUACUAUUAGCUAAUCCCUUUUAAGUUUGAUUAUCUCCAAAGACAAAUUUGAACCACAUUAUUACUAACUCAUUGUGAGGCUAAACCCACCCCUUAGUGUAGAUAAUAUUGUUCGUUAAAAAAAAACUAAUAACAAUUUAACUUUUAGGAAUAUUUAUGUCAAAUAAUUAAAUAUGUUAUAAAUAUGUAAAAGUUAGAGAGAUAACCUUUACUAGUGACAGGAACGAAGCAGGUGUAAAAUAUCACACUGAAACUAUAGCACAAGAGGAUGACAAAUAAAAGAGGGAGGAAUAGAUACUGAAGUUAUUAAUCUUUUAUUUCUUCUCAGUAUAUUCUAUAUAUCAUUUAACUGCAGUUGGAGCGCUCUAUUUAUAGAGUGGCUCCAUACAAACAGGUUCUUAUAGUUUGAAAUUUACAUUGCAUGUUUUGAAAACAAUCCUUUUGUUUCCAAAGUCUAUUUCAAUUUGCAAGGCAUUGACAAUGUGUGUGUGGGCAUUCAUAACAAUGCCAAUGUUUUCACAAAAUAAACUAUUUAAACCCUAUAGAAUUGUUGUAUUGUAGACAAUUAGAUGGAUGAUUUAGACGUGUUUAUCUUUAGCAAUUUUCUUCACAAAAUGUAGUUUUCGUAGCAUCAUUAGUCAUACAAAUCUUUAUUGUCUUGUAGAAAAAAGAGGAAAAAGAAAAAGGAUGCGUGAUGGUGCAUCGCACAUUCGCACUUCAUACGUCCUGUCGGUUUGCACAUGGGUGGGCUACCUAUAAUAUAAGCCAAACCGAGCGAGGAAGCAAAAGGAGUGGGUGGGUGUUGACAGUUGAGAGCGAGAGAGAGAGAGAGAGAGAGAGAGAGAGAGAGAGAGAGAGAGGUCAGAGGUGUGUGUGAUAAAAAAUGGCGGUUGAGAAGGGAAGAUACUGUGUAACAGGAGCUGGAGGGUUUCUUGCGUCGUGGGUUGUUAAGCUUCUUCUUUCCAAGGAUUCUAUUGUCCAAGGGACCCUCAGAGACCCCUGUAUGUAUCCUCUAUCCAACCAUUUUCCCUUCUUUCUUUCUACUGUUUGCACUUGCAGUGAAUACUGUUCCAUCGAUCGUAGGACAAGAUACAUCUGUUUUCAUUUUCAUUAUCUGCUACUUUGAUACUCGUUUGAUGUUUAAUUAUUUAGAGGCUGCUUGAUUAUAAUUUCGUUUUUCAAUUUUCCUUUUUUUAAUUAAAAAAGGAAAGAAAAAAAAAAAACUGAAAACGCAUUUGGUAACUAUUUGAGUUUUUUUUUAAUUUGGCAAGCAGUUACCAAACAUGUAAUGAAAACUAGGGGUGGGAAAUUUUGUCAUAAACUGAUUUACCAACUGAACCAUACAUGUUGGUUCAUAAUGGUAUGGUAUAGUUUUGACAUUUUUUUCAUAAUCGGUUGGCAUUAUACCGAACCAACAAUUAAUGGUAUGACUUUGGUAUUGGAUGUUGUAUACCGGCAGUAUGCCAUGCCUACCAAUAUAUAUAUAUAUAUAUAUAUAUUAGGUAUUUUUACAUGCUUGACAUGUGAAGAACUGGAAAAAUGUAAGUAUUGCUAUUUUUUUUCUAAUUCUAAUUAUAGUACUUCAAUCCAAUAUUUAUUGAUAUUUUUAAUUUAUUAUUCAAUGUUACUUCUUAUUUUAAUCAUACUUUUUUUUUAUGUAACAUUUGAAUUGAAAUAGUUGAUGGUUCUACAUCUCAAGCAGGAACAUCAAUUCCAAAUGCUUUGAAGAAUUGAUUCAUGAAACAUUUCACAUGCAUUGGUUGAUGCUACUUCAGUUAUGUUGCAUUAUCAAAACAAGAAGUUAUUUGUUUUGUGAGGUGCAUCAAGGUUGAGGAUGGAAAGGUUCUUGCUACAGAGAACGCGGUUAAAGACAGAUGGAAAGGUUAUUUUCAUAAUCUUUUCAAUGAAGGACAUGAAAGGAGUGCUUCUUUAGAGGAGUUGAGUAACUCAGAAGAGUGUAGAAACUACUCUUUUUAUCGUAGAAUCCGGAAGGAAGAAGUGGUUGUAGCUUUGAAGAAGAUGAAGCAUAGAAAAGCAAUAGGCCCAGACGAUAUACCAAUCGAAGUGUGGAAAGUUUUGGGAGAGACAGGUAUAACAUGGCUCACUGACCUUUUCAAUAGGAUUUUGAAAACGAAGAAGAUGCCAAAUGAGUGGCGAACGAUCACUUUGGUGCCUAUCUACAAGAAUAAGGGCGAUGUACAAAAUUGCAUGAACUAUAGGGGUAUUAAGCUAAUGAGUCAUACAAUGAAGCUCUGGGAGAGAGUCAUUGAGCAUAGAUUGAGGCAAGAGACACGGGUUUCGGACAACCAAUUCGGGUUCAUGCCAGGGCGCUCAACCAUGGAGGCAAUCUAUCUCUUACGAAGAUUGAUGGAAAGAUAUAGAGAUGGGAAAAAGGAUUUACACAUGGUCUUUAUAGAUUUGGAAAAAGCGUAUGAUAGGGUCCCAAGAGACAUUCUUUGGAGGAUUUUAGAGAAGAAAGGAGUACGAGUAGCAUAUAUCCAAGCUAUACAGGAUAUGUAUGAAGGAGUAAAGACUACCGUAAGAACUCACGAAGGACAAACCGGAAGCUUUCCCAUAACUGUAGGAUUACAUCAAGGCUCAUCCUUAAGUCCUUACCUUUUUGCGUUGGUAAUGGAUGAUUUAACAGGACAUAUUCAAGAUGAUAUUCCUUGGUGUAUGCUUUUCGCAGAUGAUAUAGUGUUGAUAGAUGAAACUCAGGAAGGGUAAAUGCAAAGCUUAACCUUUGGAGAGAAGUGUUGGAAUCUAAAGGUCUUCGCCUAAGCCGAUCAAAGACAGAAUAUAUGGAGUGCAAGUUCAGUGCAAAUGGAGGCCAAAACGAGUUAGGGGUGAGGAUCGGAGAUCAAGAAAUACCAAAGAGCGACCGUUUUCGUUACCUAGGAUCUAUCUUGCAAAAGAACGGAGAAUUAGAUGGAGAUCUCAACCAUAGAAUACAAGCUGGAUGGAUGAAGUGGAAGAGUGCAUCCGGCGUGUUGUGUGACCGCCGUAUGCCACUGAAGCUCAAGGGAAAAUUUUAUAGGACGGCAAUAAGGCCGCCGGCGAUGCUGUAUGGCAGGCACAGAAUGUUGGGCGGUGAAGCAUCAACACGUACACAAAAUGGGUGUAGCGGAGAUGAGGAUGCUUCGUUGGAUGUGUGGGCACACGAGAAAGGAUAAGAUUAGGAAUGAGGAUAUCCGGGGGGUAAAGUAGGAGUAGCCGAAAUUGAAGGAAAGAUGAGAGAAAAUCGGUUACGGUGGUUUGGACAUGUGCAAAGAAGGCCUACUGACGCUCCGAUUAGAAGAUGCGACUAUGGGACAGAGGUUCAGGGCCGAAGGGGUAGAGGAAGACCUAGGAAAACUUUGGAAGAGACCCUAAGAAAAGACUUAGAGUACUUGGAUCUAACGGAGGACAUGACACAGGACAGAACACAAUGGCGUUCUAAGAUUCAUAUAGCCGAUCCCACUCAGUGACUUGGAUUUUCCAAGUCUCCAACCGAGAAGUUUUCCUCACUCGGGAAAUUAAGGGAACACUACCUCAACCUACAUGCUCCACUCACAAAGCUUCAACAUACAAGCUUCAACAAAAGAAAAAUUCAAAGAACUUUAGCGAAGAAGGCUUUGGUGUAUUUAACACAAUACGUUGAAAUGAAGGAAAGCUUAUUUAUUGAUAUCCCCGAUAAGUUACAAAUAUGUACAUAUACUUGAGUCAAAAUAAACAAACAAGAGGGAGCCUUCACAAAGGUGGCUUAGGAGAAGUCUCAGCAGUCGGUAGAGCCCCAGAAAGAGAAGGCACCGGAGGGGGAUCAUUCGGAGCCUCAGUACUGGACAAAACCCUAGAAGGAGGAGGCAUCAGAGGUUGAUCAUUUGGAGCUUCAUUACGCGGUACAGCCCCAGAAGACGAAGUCAAUAAAUGCCUUUGGAACAAACCCACAAAUCUCUGAUGAUCAAGUAAAACCUGACCAUCAGAUUCCUUCAUCUGGUCAAGCUUCCUCUUCAUGUUUGUAGCAUAGUCAUGUGCGAGCCGGUGCAACUGUUUAUUCUCAUGCCUGAGCCCUCUAAUCUCCUGUUUGAGACUCAUCACUUCAGCCGCCAAUGAUUCAACUUGGCGGGUUCGAGCAAAUAGGCGUUGGGCCAUAUUAGACACAGAACCUGCACACUGAACAGUGAGAGCCAGAGAAUCCUUAACAGCCAACUCAUCAGACCGUUUGGAAAGUAGUCUGUUAUCUUUGGGAGUGAGAAGGUUCCUGGCCACUACCGCAGCGGUCAUAUCAUUCUUCAUCACGGAAUCCCCAACGGUAAGAGGACCAGUAGGGGAGACGAAAGGAUGGCGCCAUAUUGUUGUCUGGAGAAGGCGGGGCUGCCUCUUCAACAAGGUUCAAGUCAAAACGACGGUCGGAGGGGCCAGACAUUUUCAAAGGUGUUGAAGAGAGAAGAGGUCGGACAAAUCAAGAUCUUAGAAGUGCAAAAAUAGAGCUUCUACUGGUGGAUAUUCAAGUGUGCUUUGGAACUUAAUGUCAGCCCCUAUAAAAAUCUGCACUCGACGAAGCUUCAGAAAUCGAAGAGGCGCCUGCUCAGAAAUCGAAGAGGCGUUUUGCUUUCUCAAAAGCUGGGCUGCUCAGAGACCACGAGGGUCGAUCUCAGAAAUCGAAGAGGCGUUUGCUUUCUCAAAAGCUGGGCUGCUCAAAGACCACGAAGGCCGAUCUCAGAAAUCGAAGAGGCUUGCUUUCUCAAAAGCUGGGCUGCUCAGAGACCACGAGGGCCGAUCUCAGAAAUCGAAGAGGCACCUACUUUUCCAGCCUUGUCAGCACCUGUCACACGCACAUUCAGCUUUACGGAAAUUAUAGGCAUUCUGUCGAAGAUUUCUGACGAAGUAGAAAGCACAUGAAUCGUACUGUUCAAUCACCCACUUCCCACACGUAACAGUAACUCAUGGGUACCACAGAUAACUUUGCCAAAGUUCUCUGACAAAGUUGAGACACGUGAAGCUUGCAACUCCCGCUACAUCGCUCUAACCAAGAAGGGUAAAAGAAUUGCAAAGAAACAACACUAACAAAGUUUAGACACAUAAAUUUUGAAGAUCUAGCUACCAUAUUAUUACCCACAAGGGUAAAGGAACAGUACCACUGCUGGAUAAUUGGAAAGUCCCGGUGUGUCAACCUCUGUGCUUCGUGGCAAGGUAGACUAGCAAACAUGCCCAACCUUUACUCACAUUCGAGAAAACACUCCCAACAGGAUUGCUUGCUCCAAAAUCGAAGAGGCACCGCCCUCCGAAUCUCGAGAGCCAGACUCCCAACAUGAUUACUUUCUCAAAAAUCGAAGAGAGGGUAAAGGAACAGUACCACUGCUGGAUAAUUGGAAAGUCCCUGUGUGUCAACCUUUGUACUUCGUGGCAAGGUAGACUAGCAAACAUGCCCAACCUUUACUCACAUUCGAGAAAACACUCCCAACAAGAUUGCUUGCUCCAAAAUCGAAGAGGCACCGCCCUCCGAAUCUCGAGAGCCAGACUCCCAACAUGAUUACUUUCUCAAAAAUCGAAGAGAGAGGGUAAAGGAACAGUACCACUGCUGGAUAAUUAGAAAGUCCCUGUGUGUCAACCUCUGUGCUUCGUGGCAAGGUAGACUAGCAAACAUGCCCAACCUUUACUCACAUUCGAGAAAACACUCCCAACAAGAUUGCUUGCUCCAAAAUCGAAGAGGCACCGCCCUCCGAAUCUCGAGAGCCAGACUCCCAACAUGAUUACUUUCUAAAAAAUCGAAGAGACACCGCUCUCCGAAUCUCGAGAGCCAGACCCCCAGCAGGAUUGCUUUCUCAAAAAUCGAAGAGGCAUCGUUCUCCGAAUCUCGAGAGCCAGAUCCCCGAUAGGAUUGCUUGUUCGAAAACCGAAGAGGCACCACUUUCCCAACUUCAAGAGCUGGACCUCCUUGGAUAAAACUUGUCUGUAAUCUUCACACGCAACAUCAGCUUUCCAGAUACCACAGACCACUUUUUCAAAGUGCUCUGAUAGAGUUAAAACAUGUGAAGCUGGCAGCUCCCACUACCGUGCUAUGACCAAGCAGGGUAAAGGAAUAACAUUAUUACUUGAUGUUAGGGAGACUCCUAUAUAUGUCGACCUCCAUCCCUAACGGACAGGCAGACCUGCAAAAAAUGCUCAACCCUUUCUCUUAUCUGAGAGGGCACUCCCAACGAAGCCUUUCGAAAUAUUCAGCUUUCUUUCCCCCCGAUAAUACCUCUGUAAACAAGCUAUACUAGAGCAAGAAUAUCUCAUAUCAUCAGGGUUAAAAGCAAGAGUAUCCCAUAUCUUGCUUUUUCCCUGUCUUUUCCUUUGGCCUUGUUCUUACCUGCAAGACAAGGAGAAAGAGAGCAAUCAGUCAGCACUUGGAAUCAAGCUUCCAGCCAGGAACUGACUGCCUGGAACCCCUUACCUGAUUACUUAUCUGGCAUUGCUCUCGAGUACUCAUCUUCAACAUCUUAUGCUUCCAGGGAAGAUACCGCAUCUGCCUGAGGAACAGAGAGCAAGUGAGAAGGAUACAAGGAAGCAUGUGGAGACAAGCGUAACAGCACACGUGCCGAUACAUCCACUACUCUGUCAAAAGCAAAAGUAUCCCAUAUCAGCAGGGUCGAACGUACUCUAGAUUUGAUGGACUUGUUUUGACCCUCAAAUUCUUCAGUUGGCCUUAUACUCUGGAGGAAAAACCAGAAAAACCCUCCAGCCCGGUUCAAGAAUAAGCCUGUGGAAAGUUUACUUCUUCAAAAGCAAAAGUAUCCCAUAUCAUCUCUUCUCAUUUUUUCUUCUCUUUAUCCUUCAUGCUGCCUGCAAGAUAGGGAGAAUGUGAACAAUUAGCCGGAGCUCUGAUUGCUUACCUUGUCUGUCACCUCUUUCAGCAGAUCCCCUAGCCCGGCGACUUGGGGGACUCCUACUACAUGGUUUGUAUCGCGCUUGACCAAGCCUGAAACUUCAAGUAAGCUUCAAGUAAAAUUGAUACAUUACCUUGUGCAUCUCCACCAGUUACAGAUACCACCCCUGGAUGGAGGAAGAGAGUACUUCCAGAGAAGAUGCCACAUCUACCUAUGAGACAGAUAAGGAAAGUCAAGACGAUACCACACUCCGGUACUUAGAGAAGUUUCGUGGUUACGAGAUCAUUCUCCCACAAUAUUUCCUAAUGUCAUUUGUACUAAAUCAUUCACUUGUACUCACUAAAGGAGAGCUUGAACCUAUGUACUUGUGUAAACCCUUCACAAUUAAUGAGAACUCCUCUAUUCCGUGGACGUAGCCAAUCUGGGUGAACCACGUACAUCUUGUGUUUGCUUUCCUAUCUCUAUCCAUUUAUAUACUUAUCCACACUAAUGACCGGAGCAAUCUAGCGAAGAUCACAAAAAGUGACCGUUUUCGCUACCUAGGAUCUAUCUUGCAAGAGAACGGAGAAUUAGAUAGAGAUCUCAACCAUAGAAUACAAGCUGGAUGGAAGUGUAAGAGUGCAUCCGGCGUGUUGUGUGACCGUUGUAGGCCACUGAAGCUCAAGGGAAAAUUUUAUAGGACGGCAAUAAGGCCAGCGAUGUUGUAUGGCACAGAAUGUUGGGCGGUGAAGCAUCAACACGUACACAAAAUGGGUGUAGCAGAGAUGAGAUGCUUCGUGGGAUGUAUGGGCACACGAGAAAGGAUAAGAUUGGGAAUGAGGAUAUCCGAGGUAAAGUAGGAGUAGCCAAAAUUGAAGGAAAUAUGAGAGAAAAUCGGUUCCGGUGGUUUGGACAUGUGCAAAGAAGGUCUACUGACACCCGGUUCGAAAAUGUGACUACGGGACAGAGGUUCAGGGCCGAAGGGGUAGAGGAAGACCUAGGAAAACUUUGGAAGAGACCCUAAGAAAAGACUUGAGUACUUGGAUCUAACGGAGGACAUGACACAAAACCGAGCGCAAUGACGUUCUAGGAUUCAUAUAGCCGACCCCACUUAGUGGGAAAAGGCUUUGUUGUUGUUGUUGUUGUUGCAUUAGUUGCUACAAUUGAACUUAGACAAUUAUAUUAGUUAGACUUUUGAGUUUGUGAACUUAUAACUAUUUGGAUUAUGUUUGUUGACAUUGUUGUUGGCUUAUUAAGUUUUGAUUUGAUUUUCAUUUUAAUUUGUUAAGUCAUGAUUAUGUUGGCUUAUCAUCAAUUGAAAAAUUGCAGCAGCAACUUCUUUUUCUCUUUUCUGGUUUGUUGUUUACAGGUUGGUGCAUGGUCUUGAGUUGUUUUUGUAGCUUAUUUGCAAACCAUUGGUUGUGCCAUUUACCAACCAAACCAGCCAAUAAUUUUGGCUGAACCAAUUUUUGGCAACCAUAAGAAGACGAUUGGCUAGCGGUAACUAAUUUUCAGUAAUUAUGUAUAUGUAGUUGGUAUGUGGCAUAAGGAAUUUGGCACGAUUUACCAACCGAACCCAGCCCUAAUGAAAACUAAAAACUGGCAUAGUUAUCAAACGGACCUUUAACAAGAUAAAAUGCUCAGUUCUUAAAUUCUAAUGAUUUUGGCUAUAAUUUUGUUGGUGUGAUAUGCUUGAUUACAAGCAAUGCAAACACAAAAUGAACAAAUUUCUUGAUUGAGUGGAAACUGGCUCAAAGAGUGUCAGGAAGCGGAAAUCGUUGAUGAUUAAUAGUACUGUAUUUGUGUUGUGCACAAACGCAGCUAAUGACAAGCACGCCCACUUGAAAAAACUUGACAAGGCAUCUGAGAACCUUAAACUAUUCAAAGCGGACUUGUUGGACUAUGAAUCCCUUCGCACAGCGAUUCAAGGAUGUGAUGGAGUGUUUCAUGUUGCCAGUCCAGUUCCCUACGACCCUGUGCCAAAUCCUGAGGCAAGAAUUUCUCUCAUUCAUUGAUCACUGAGAUACUCGAUCUCAAUUGCAAUAUAUUAGUUAGUAGUUAGUACACUGACUUCUCUUCGGUAGUUGCUAAUUAGUAUAGUACUCUAUUUGUGGUUGGUACUAUGUAUAGUUUUAUUAUGCCAAUAUAUGCUAACCAAAUAAAUGCUCAUAUUUUCCUACAUUUUGAUUUAUCGUUUGUCCAGGUAGAAUUGAUUGAACCUGCCGUGAAGGGAACACUUAAUGUACUUAAAGCAUGCCUUGAAGCAAAAGUCAAGCGAGUUGUUUUCGUGUCAGCUGCAGCUUCUCUUGUCAUGAAUCCUAAGUGGUCUCAAGGCCAAGUGUUGGAUGAAACUUGUUGGUCAGACAAGGAAUACUGCAGAAGUACUAAGGUAUUCCAGGAACAUAUAUAUGUGAUUGUAGUUCUAGAAUGAACUCAUAAUUUUGGUGAUCAAUGCAACGCGUAGUAGAACUAAGAAAUAGGAACACGCAUACACAACUUUCCUUUUAGGAUCCAGUUAGGAGUGUUGAUUCUUCACCGAGGGUACCAUUAGAAAAGGACUUCCAGGGAUUAUGUUUUAAUUCCCCAAGAAAUAUCGAACAAUUAGAAAUAAAAGAAAGGAAAGUGUAUUAUUUAUUCUAUAAUGACGAAAAACCAUAGAGUUAGAAAUGAUUAAAACACUAUCAAUAAUCUUCACUAAAACAGGAAAAGGGAAAGAAUGGAAUUUGCCAAUGACGGUAAGUUUUGAGAUUGACUUUCAAAAUCAUAAACUGCACACAUUUCAGUAUCAUAACAAACUAUUUUCGAAACUGAAAUUGAAAUUCAUUCUAUAAUGGUCAAAUCAUGUUUUUCACUAGUCCUAUGCAAUGAAAAAAAAAAUAUUGAAUAUCAUCUCGUGCGGUUCCUGAACUUUCACUCAUAGUUUUAUCUAACAUUUUCACUUUUGGUAGAGAAUUGAAAUGGCGCAAAUCCAUUUAGUGUGAUGAUAUCAUCUAGAUAUUCAUUCUGCAACAUUGCACUCGUAAAGUUAUUUUAGUGUGAUUGUAUAUUUCAUAUGUGUGUUUCGACUAUCUAAUUAUUUCUUUAAUCUUUCAGAAUUGGUAUUUUCUUUCAAAAACUGAAGCAGAAUAUGAAGCCCUGGAGUAUGCAAGAAUAAAUGGGCUCGACUUGGUAACCGUUUGUCCUACACUUAUUAUGGGGCCAAUUCUGCAGUCCACUGUAAAUGCAAGUACCUUGGUCGUCAUCAAGCUUCUGAAGGGUACUUACUUUUGACAUAACCACUUGAUGCUUAAUUAAAUCCCUUGCUUUGUUAAAAAAAAUUAAAUCCAUUUCUUUAAAAUCAAGGGUUUUCACAAAUAAACCGAUAUAGAACCCCAUUUCACAGUUAAAACUUGAUAGGUCAGGGAUUUGUUUUCUAUAGUUUGAUUCUUGAAAUUUUUCUUACUACCAUUAACAGUUACACGCUUUACAUAAUUAUGUAUAAAAUCUACAUAUAUUUAGAUAGAGAGGUAGGUGGGGUUGUAAACUCAUCCUUUGGUAAUUGUCUAUUGUGGGUGUUUAUGCACUUGGCUCCAUUUUGAUCUCUAUGACCCAGGAUCCAGGUUUAUCCCCCAGUCAUGAAUAUUCAUAUUAACUGAUUUAAUAUUGUCUCCUCGCAGAAGGGUAUGAGUCACUGGAAAACAAGCCGCGGAUGAUAGUUGAUGUGCGGGAUGUAGCUGAAGCAGUCGUUAUGGUGAAUGAGAAGCCUGAGGCUGAAGGAAGAUACAUAUGCACCGCUCACAAUAUCAAGACGAGAGAUCUGGUUGAAGAGCUGAAGAGCAUUUAUCCUAAUUACAGUUAUCCUAUGAAGUAAGGUUUCUCUUCAAUCUAUACUUGGUAACUAGAAUGGAGAGAUUUUCAAAUGAGUUAUGUAUAUAGCGUUAUUGAUCAUCGAUGUCAUCCAAUACAAAAUUAAGCAGAAUGGACAGGGAUUCUUGUUGUAAUGGUUUUCCGUUUCAACUAAUUUUAUGAAUUUGGAUUAUACAUGUAUAUUGGCAGCUUUGUUGAAGUAGAAGAACAACCAAGGUUGAGCUCGGAGAAACUUCAGAGGCUGGGUUUGAGUUUCCGACCAUUGAAAGAGACGCUUACUGGCUCAGUUGAAAGCUACAAAGAGGCUGGACUGCUCUGAUACCGAAAACAUCUCAGAGCGUGCUCUACGAAUCUAACUACAUUGUUUGAAGUUACACAUCCCACGAUGGAAGAGGAAAAUUUGGCUUAAUUUGUUGCAGUGCCGUUUAGGUUGGUGGAGUCCAAACAUAUAUGUCAGUUUUCUGUCUUAUAGCUACCGCCCAGUGAUAGUUGCCAAAUAAUAUUUCAUCUUUUUGUGUUUGUUGAGAAAACAAUGUUUUGGUUUUGGCCUUUAUGAUCUUACUCAUUCGACUUGUUCAAAUGGAAAUAAGCUAUUGACGGAUAUUUCUCAGGUUCUAGAAUAUGAGUCCCUUGGGGUCCCAGAUUAGGUGUUUAUUGUUUGGAGUUGCUUGAAGGUGUGGAAUAAUAGUCACUCGCAUUGGGCAUCUUAUAAAACAAACUAAAAUUUACAUGAAAUGGUUUCAUUUUUAAUUGCGUUAGUGACAACCCCCUCACUUAUUGGACAAAUGAAUAAGUUUGAGAUAGUAUUAGUGUUUAUUGAAUUGCACAAGUGAUUAAGUUUGAGACAAUAUUAGCGUGAUUAAUAGUGGACUGGUUGCUCCACUCUCAAAAAUCUUAACAUAAGGGUCAUGGUCUAGCACUUACUAGUCUUAGCUCAUCACGUCGCAUGUACACCUCGAUCAUGUCUAAUUAAUUAGAUGAAAAUACACCAAUGAAUAAGAGUCCCUUAUUUAGUGAAAUUAUUUUUCUAAUUAUGUUUUAAUAGUGAUGGUGAUCCGGUAAAAUGCUUUGGAUAUUAUUUCAAUCAGAAUCUUCCGUUGAUGUUAAUGUUAAACAGUAAUACGUAAAUGAUGACAAAGACAUGCCAACUAGCCAUAGCCGGAGACAUGAGCUCGUUACCUAUCAUUUUUUAACACCCUCAUAGACCUAUCAUUAGUUUUGCAGUUAUUUGUGUUUUUUAGUUGGGGUUUAUUGAAAAAUUGCUUGAUUGGUUGGGGGUUUAAGAAGUCAAAUUUGGAGAUUGGUAGGGUAACACUUUCUUGUGAGAUUGUGUCGCAACAGUAGUCUGGAAAAUGAUUUCAACAUUUAUUUUUUCUUGUUGGAUUCUUCUAUUUAUUUGUGUUUUUUAAUUCUCAUUUAAUUAAUUAGUCAUAGAUAACUAUGAGUUUAUGUGGACGUGAAAAUUUGAAUGGGACCAUGAAGUAUCUAUAUGGUGCAGUAUAUAUCUUGACAAAUCAAUGCUUUAGGUGGUAGGCUUUAUAAAAUGUAUUCAGAGUCAUGCAAGUGACAAACAUUGACUUUGUGUUUGCCGAAAAAGUGAUGUACGUAGUAAAUAGUGAAAGGCAAUCUUGACUCGUUUUGUGGACGGUGGAAAUCUUAGCUUGCAAACCGAGUGUCAACACAAUAUGGCCAAAGUUUUAAGUGAAAUCGGGUAUAUAUUUUCUGUUUUAUUCUAACUAGGUUAUGUGCAUGUGUACAUGUGUAAUUGAUUGAACGUUUAUCUACCAAAAAAAUUUAGUCACUAGAGAGAAAAACAAAGAAAAAAAACUCAUCGCCUUGUAUCCUAAAGCCAAAGGCAAGGAUCGUCGGUAAUCCCUCUUGGUCCCUUCCAUUUAUUUCCCAUGUUUCUUCUAUCUUCUAAUCAUCUUUGUCUCUUAUUUUAUGUAGUGUACGGGAAUAAAUGGCUGGUUGGAUCUUCUCAUUUAUCAAUGCCAUUGUUUUUCUUCUCUUUUUUAUUGAGUUGCCUAGUAACUGUUCUAAUAUUAACUAUUUAUCCAACUAAUGCUUUAUAAUCUUCCUAUUUAAGGGGUUCCAUAUGUAUCUUUAAAGAAGUCAUUUAGUGAAUUUUAAAAAUUAUAUCUAAGAAGCGAGUCAUUUUCUCCUUUGAAAAGCGUUUGACUUGGUCUUACGAGGGGUAUUUGAUUGAUAAUGAAAAAAGAAGUUAUACUUAGCCAGGAGGAAAUAAACCUAACCCCUCAUAAUACAAGAAAAAAAAAAGGAUUAAAAAAAUACAUGAAAAUGAAGGGGGACAUAAAUGUUGCCCCGGUAGAAAUGAAAACAAUAGAGAUACAAGGAAAAUAGGGGGGGGGAUGAAACCUAACCCUUAUAAAGUCAAACCUAAAGGUCUAAACCUGCAAAAUAGAUCAAGCAACAUCACAGGGUUAAGAAAAGAGAACAGUCAGAUAAACAUAUAUACUGAGAUGCACAUUAAUUUGAGAAGCAAAAGCCAGGAAAGGCAGCAUAGUCUGAAAGCAAAGCAACAUGAGCCGCCACCGGAUGGAAUCAUACCAUACCAAAGUUGGAGAAAACAAAGCAACACGAGUUCCGUUUUCUUUUUCUUUGGUUGAGUGAUUCUCAGGUUAUCUACACUCGUCUCUUUGAGAACCUUGGCUCGUCCUACGUCACUGUUAUGGUUACUCUUUCACUUCAUUAUAGAGACUUAAUAGCUGUGCCCAGUCUCUUGCUCUGUUGAGAAGAAUCUUUUAUAGAGAUGAAGAUUUACUACUCAAUCACAUAUUUUACAUCAACCGAUGUUAGUCAACUUUGAGGUGAAGGUUUUUUGGGUUCUCUUGGUUUGUGGACUUGGCAAUGACUAUGAAGAAGCUUGAUUUUGUUGGAAGUGACUUAUAACAAUGCUUCUUUGCAAACGAUUGCAAGGUUAUAAUAAGUUGGUGUACUUUACUCAUGGCAACCAUUAUAGUAGUUCUUCAGCUUGCAAGGUUUAGUUCUAGUGAGAAUUAUCUUUCUUGUUUGUUGAUUGUGGGUCUUUUUUGAAUGCAUAAUUGUAUUAUACUCAUGAGUCAUGAUAAAUUUGUAACUAUAGAUUCGCGAUAUUUCUUUUGGUAUAUGCAUACUGUUCUAGGGAUUUUCCAUGUGUUUUUCUUAACUAAAGUUUGUUCUAAGUACCAUGUUGGUGUGCACGUCAUAUGUAAAUUCUUGAUAGUUCUUACUUGUAUAAUGAUUUGGCCCCCGCAUAUGAAAUCCUAGUUCUGCCCCUAGUUUCACUUUCAAGGAUCUAAAAUAAUUACAUUCUAUAUUUUUUUUUAAUCUGGAAACUCUCACUUUGGUGUAUAUACUACAUAGUGUAAAGCUCACUCAUGUGAGGAUUGGGAUAAAACAUUUACCCUCUAUGUUAUAGACUUGCAUCUUUUAUAUAUGGAGAUAUUACAAACCCAUACUCGUACAUAAGUUGUAGCAUUUGUCACGCAUCGAUCCCAAUACAUUAGGAUCGAUACGUGAUGUCACCAUGUGCCUAUUCAUCUAUCAUACCUCGCCUCCGAGACAUGACCAAAACAAACCAAUAGUUCAAUAGCAUAGUAACUUUUUUUUCUUUUAUUUCAUGGCUACAUCUAAUCUCUAUAUUAGAUUGCCUACAUACCCUAAAACGGGAUUAAGCCAUUCGUAGUUUACCCUUUGUCAAGCUCUGACAUUUCUCAUGAUACUUCCUAACAAAAAAACAUAAAGUUCUAAAAUCACUCAAUGGAACUCGAAAAGCAUAAAUCAAUACAUUUCAAAUUCAAUAACGAAAUCAUAUGACAACCAAGAUUGUCAUUUCGUCAUCCGCAUACAUAACAAUGUUUUACAACACAGUUCCACAAUCACAACAAAUAAUAGAUUCCAUGACUCAAGGAUACUCAAUAUUAACAUUUAACUACUUAAUCAACCAACAAGAUCAAAGUAUCCUUUCACGAAAUUUGAUAAUAAUCUUUGUAUUUCCCUACCUGGAUUCCAAGCAAUAUUGUAACCCUAAUUUACAAACAUAAAUGUCUACUAUCAGUAAUUUCUAUUCACAAUAAUCUAGGGUUUAGGACUAACUCCACGGAACCGACCAAGAGUUGGGAUCCCAGACCACUUAACGGAAUCCCACUAUGAAGUGGUCGCCCAUCACGGGUUUACCAAGCACAACUUCUCCUUACAACCUUAUGGAGGAAGUGGUUAGCCAUCACAGAUAUACCAAACACCAUCGCCCCUAGAAUACAUAUGGUCACCCAUCGGGGAUAUACUAAGUAGUACUAUAGGCAUAAACUAAUUGUGUAGGUAGUGAUCACCCUUGAAAUAUGUAUUGUCCCCAUCGGAUAUACCAAGUAGAACCAUAAGCGUGCAUUAAAUGGUGUAGUCCCUUAAUGCGAAUUAACAAAGCAAGACCACCCAUGAGCACCAAGUAACAAGGUAGGCAAUGACCCCUAAUGCAUAUUAACCAACCAGAGUCACCCCUAGAAUGUGUAUGGUCUCCUAAUUCAGAAUUAACCAAGCUUAUGACACCAAUAGCAUGGUCUUUUAAUGCGGAUUAACCAAGUAAGACCACUUAUGGAAACAAGGUAACCAAAUAAGUAGUGACCCCACAAUGCAGAUUAACCAAGCAAAGUCAUGCCUAUAAUGCAUAUAGUCCCCCAAUGCGGAUUAACCAAGCAGGUCCAUAGACAUGCAUCAAAUGGUGUGGUUCCCCAAUGCAGAUUAACCAAGCACGACCACCUAUGUACCACACUGCUACAUGGUUUAGUUGUAUCAUCACACAUUAUACAUCUUACAUCAUGAAUCGUACAUCAUACAUCAAUUCAGCAUGAAUCACAAUUGUAAGCGCGCACACACACACUCGAUUCCACGUGACUAACCAAAAGACUUGUCAUACAACAUAUAAGUUCUACAAAAAACUUCUACUAUGGUUCCAUGCUCAUUUUUUCAUACUAGCAAUGACAUAUCAAUUAUAUCAUCUAGAAGUUCAAUAAUCACGUAAAUUUUAGUAAGUUGCCACCCGCACGCAAAACAAAGCACAUAUCCCUCAAUAUGGCUCGCUUACCAAGAUAGACCCAUUAGACUUUAUCAGACAUCUAGUAAUGUUAAUUUCAGUACUUAAGAACGAUUUGGAACAUUUUGACCAAAUGUCAACCCUUGGUUAAUGUGGUCAACGAUACGGUUAACAACCCUAAUAAUUUAAUCCGGAUGACCUGUACGUCGAACUUCCAACCUGUAAAUUCCUAAGAUCCUAAAGUAUUACGUAUAACCACAUACUAUAAUUUCAUAAGGAUCCAACAGUCAGAUCUUCAUCUACUAGAAAGGCCGUGUGGCGGACCUUUACGAAACUAGGAUCAAACAGUCAAAUCUUGUCAAAGGGGUGUCAAAAACCAAAUUCAGGGCACAUGAAUUGGCCUAAGUAGACAAAGUGGGCAUCGAGCCUACACACCACUGCCACCCGCCAUCGCACACGAUAAUUAGUGGCUAUGACUCGCCGGAUUGUGGCCAUAACAAAAAAUGACCCAUAUUAUGUCAAAUUGAAGCCUGUGGAGGAUGGAGCAAUAUUCAUACAUUUGUCGGAGUCUAGAUAUGAUUGGAAAACCUUAAAUUCCUCAGUAAAGUUGUGGAUCGACGAAAAGGGUGUACCUUGUCGAGUCUUUAAUAGAGCUCGAACGUCAAAUUUAAAGCUCGGAGUUUGCAGCCCAAAUUGAGGUUAAUGCAGUGGAGGCAGUCAUCGACGUUGAGGUGAACGGAGAAGGCAGAUCGUCGGCAUCAAAGUCCCGGAAUUCUCAAGACUCAAUCCGCCACAAAUGAGAGCCAAACUAGGUUGAUCUUGGGUGGGAAAUGACCAUGGGGACGAGAGGAGUCUAUCCCAUAUGGUGGCCAAGAUUGUCGUCGACAAAAUUCAUUGGAAUCGGCGUAUGAAAGUUUGUCCAAAAACAAUCAAAAUUGCAGAGAGAUUCCGAGGCAACCAAGUCGACUUGCAUAGCUGUUUUCUAAAACGAGAAGAGCUCCCUUCCUAAAUCUGGGACCUUCCAUACAUAGGGGUCCAAAAGAUAAAAUUACCCCUUCCCUUGUUUCCUUAUUUCUCCUUCAUUAACAUUCCAAUUCGCGAUCGUUUUUUGUCCACGCAUUUGUGAGAUUGAGUUCUAUUCGAAAACACUAAAAGUGACUAAAAUGGCCUUACAGAUUUUUAAUUACUAAUUACGAAAAUAAAGUGAAUUUGUGUAAAUACGUAAAAUUAGAUAGUGAUAUAUUUCACACCUUCAUUAUUACCAUGGAAAAUUCAACAAGUUGUACUGUUGUAGCCUUCAAUAUUGCUAAGGAAAAUUCAGCAAGUUGUUAUAAGAAAUGACUUCGUGGGCAUCACCCACAUCACUAUUUCACCAAUAAACAUUCACCACGUGGGCAUUCAUCUUUUGUCAAACCAUAUGCAUAAGACUCCCUCCACCGCAUAUAUAAACAGACAAGUAGAAUGACGAAGAAGAUAUAGAUAGAGAGAUCAAUCAUAAGAGAGGUGGGACUGAGAGGAGCAAGGAAAUUAGCUAGGUUGAAUAUAUAACUUGGUAAGAAGAUAUAGCAACGAGAUGGCGGGUGAGGCGGCUGAUCAGAAAGAAAAAGUAUGCGUGACUGGAGCUGGAGGAUUUACUGCCUCUUGGGUCGUCAACCUCCUUCUCUCCAGGGACUAUGUUGUUCAUGGAACUGUCAGGCAACCAGGUCAGUCAAUCCCAACACUCAUCGUAUAUAUAGUAUAAUAUUAAUUGUAUACUUUCAGUGAGAAGAUUGGACUGAAUUGAGAAAAAUAUAUUCGUGCGCGCAUGCAGGAGAUAGCAAGUAUGCUCACUUGAACAAGCUUGAGAAAGCAUCAGUGAACCUCAAACUGUUCAAGGCAGAUUUGUUGGACUACGACUCUCUUCGUUUGGCCAUUGAAGGUUGCAGCGGAGUCUUCCAUGUUGCCAGCCCUGUACCCAAUUCUCUUAAUGAUUCAGACCCUGAGGCAAGAAUCUUCUAGAUUAUGUUAUCUUAAUUAAUUGAGUUAUGAUGAGUAAAUUUAAUCUACACAUUUAGUCUCUCUGGCAUUUACUUUAAUUAAUUAAUGUGUGCCUCGCUCAACGUAAUUUAUUUAACUAUAAUUGUUAGAUUCGACCGGCUGCAUUGAUUGAUUAAUGAAUCCCAUAUUUGAAAAAAAAAAAAAUUUGAAAUUUGAAAGUCCAAAAAAAAAAAAAAAUUGGCUUCCAGUGAAUAAUGCUUGUGCUCCCCUUAUGAAGGAACAUAAUUAUCUCUACAUUUAUAAUUAGCAUAUUUUACUAUACAAAAAUCAUAAUUGGAAUCGUUUAUUCACUUUCAUAUAUAAUCUAAAUAUCAUAUUCAUAAAAAAUCAUGGCUUUUUAUCCAAAAUGAUCCCUGAGAUUUGCAUAACACAUAAUUUUGGCACCUGAGAUUGAAAAUCAAUAAAAAUGGUUCAUGAGAUUUUCUACCAUCCAUGAUUUUAGUCAUUCCGUUAAAAACUCUGUUAGGUGGUUCUAGAGCUCUUGACCAGAAGUUUGGGUAAUUUUCAAAGCUUCAUAACUUAAUCGUUUCUUAACCAAAUUCGACCCAUAAUAUAUCAAAAUGAAGAUAGGAAAGUGUAGAAUAAGAUUAUACCUAUUUGGAAGCCCAAUUGUUUCCCGAUAUAGCAGGAAAAUAGCCUAAAAAGUGACUGGUCCGCAGGAAAACUGGAAAACUAGCCAGAAACUGGGUAAACUUUAAACGUUCAUAACUUCUUCAAUACUCAACCAAAUCGAGUGAUUCAAAAGCUAAACUCACACUUCUCAAUGAGAUACAGAGAAUGGUACCUUUUCUCGAUGGCUAACUCUCCGUGGUUAGACCGGAAAAUGGCUCGAAAGUGGCUAACUCGAUGAGACCAAGACAGCCAAUUUCGAGCCAUUUUAUGGCCAAACGACGGCAAGUUAUCCAUCAAGAAAGGUACCAUUCUCUUCCUCUCAUUGGGAAGUAUGAUUUUUGUUUUUGAAUCACUUGAUUUCGUUGAGUAUUGAGGAAGUUAUGAACGUUAAAAAUUUACCUAGUUUCCGGUGAGUUUUUCAGUUUUCCUACAGACCAGUCACCUUUCAGGCUAUUUUUAGGUCAAAACAUGGCGCAUUAGCCAUCAAGAAAGAUACCAUUCUCUUCGUCUCAUCUAGAAGUAUGAUUUUCAUUUUUGAAUCACUCAAUUUCGUUGAGUAUUGAAGAAGUUAUGAACGUUUAAAGUUUACCCAGUUUACGAUGAAUUUUCCAGUUUUUCUGCAAACCAAUCACCUUUCAAGCUAUCGGCCAAGAGGUCCGGAACCACUUAACGGAGUUUUUAACAAAAGGACCAAAAUCAUGGAUGGUGGAAAAUCAGGGACCAUUUUUAUUGAUUUUCAAUCUUAGGUACCAAAAUUAUGUAUUAUGCAAAUUUCAUAGACCAUUUUGGAUAAAAAGCCAAAAAUCAUUAAAUGUGAAGGUCUUUUAGUCAAUGCUAUGCAUCAAUCAAAGGAACCGUUUAUCAUGAAGAUGCUACUUGUUACCAAAACCAUCGAUUGGUUUAACAUGCAUGGAUGACUAAAAGACAUUCAAAUUGAAUGAUUUUUAGAUGAUGAUAAAUAAAAUGAACGGUUCCAAUUUUGAUGUUCAUACGAUAAAAAUAUGUUAAUUGUAAUUUGGGGGGGGGGGGAAGCAAGUUCUCUUACGAGAGGAACACAAGCAUGAUCCUUUCAGUUUUGAGUAAAAGAACUGAAAUUGUAGAAUAAAUGAAUGUGUUGCAGGAGUUUCUUGAACCAGCAAUAAAGGGAACGCUGAAUGUACUCAAGGCUUGCAAAAAGGCCAAAGUGAAGAGAGUUGUAGUUGUGUCGUCUAUAGCCGCCGUCGUUAUGAACCCGGAGUGGCCUAAGGAUCAAGUCAAGGACGAGACUUGUUGGUCCGUUCCCGAAUAUAUAAAAACAACAAAGAAAUGGUACUAUCUUUCGAAAACAGAAGCAGAACGCGAGGCUCUGGAGUUUGGAAAAAGAAAUGGACUUGAGGUUGUGACUGUUUGUCCUUCUAUCAUUUUGGGGCCAAUCUUGCAAUCCACUCUCAAUUCCAGUAGCUCUCUCAUUGUUGCAACUAUAAUAGGUAUCUCUGUGCAUAUUCAUAUAUUAAGAUUACAAGGUACAAGACAUGUUUCUUGUUUGUGCAAUAUUAAUGUACUAGUGUGUGUGUGUGCAUGCACGCGCGCAACUAUGUACGAAUGUGUAGGUGGUCUUGAGUCCUUGGGAUGCAAUUACUGGACGUUCGUGGAUGUUCGUGAUUUAGCUGACGCGCUGCUUCUUGCAUACAACAAGCCUGAGGCUGCAGGAGAAAGAUACUUAUGCAAUUCACACUCAAUUGGCAUACGAGAUGUGGUGGAGAAAUACUUAAGGCCUACAUAUCCCGAUUACAAGUACCCCAAGAAGUAAGUUAAACCAUUAGACUAGUCCUUCAAUAAUUAAUUAUGGUCUGUUUUUUUUUUUCAAUUCAUCCUUCUGUUUGGUUGUGUACCUUUAACGACUGAUCCAUGUUUAUGUUAUUAAGAUAUGUUACCGGUUGUAUUGGCAGCCUUACCUAUGCAGAGGAAGAAUUUCAACACUUUAGUUCCGAAAAAUUGCAGAAGUUGGGUUGGACUUUCCGGCCAGUUGAGGAAACGCUUAAUGAUUCUAUUGAAAGCUACCGGAAGGCUGGAAUCGUGGGUUAGGAAAAGUUGACAGACUAUUGUAUGUGUACUGUAUUUUCCCUAGCUAGCUAACUAGCUACUCUUAGUAUGCAGACUGCUGUGCACAAUCACAAACAAAAUAAUAGUUCUGCUUGGUAAGUAUGAUAAGCAGCAGUGUUUGCUACUGCCUGCGCUUAUGCUUCAUAUAGGUAGAAAGUUAAGUUAUGCUCUCGUCUUGAUUCCUACCCUAUAUGUUUGGGCCGCUUUAAAUUCCGUCCGGAUCUAACACCUCCGAGCCUUACACGGUGGGGGGUUUUAGGCUCAUGUGUGAAUUAGGCUUAUUUCUAGCUAAAUCUCUAUAUAAUUUAAUUUUAAUCUCACUUUGCCUCUUGUGAGAAUGUGAAGGUAAAAGAGUUUCAUAUUGAUGAAAGGAGAAACCUUGCAAAGGCUUAUAAGAGGUUGGACUACUUUUUAUAUUGCUAAUUGGUCUUAUGGUGGAACCUUAACUUUUUUUAUGGUAUCAAAGCAGGUUGACCCACAUGUAAAGCCCAACAGCUACAUGUGCUCCACCUCACCCAAUUCGUGUUGUCCACGUAUUUAGCAUGAAAGUUCGUCACACGUGAGGGGGUGUGUGAGAAUGUGAAGGUAAAAGAGUUCCACAUUGGUGAAAAGAGAAACCUUGCAAGAGCUUAUAAGAGAUUAGGCUACUCACCAUAUUGCUGAUUGAUUUUAUGGUGGAACCUCAACUUUUUUCACCUCCUAUAACUCAAAGUCUUUAUUUUACUCCCUAAAACUCAAAAUUUGUUCCACUUUGCCCUUGAAACUCGAUAUUGAUCUCAUUUUGCCCUCAUAAACUUAGAAGUCGUCAUUUUACUCACUUGUUCCACAUUCCCUUGAUUAUGUUAAUUCAUUAUGUGGGUUUGAUUUGUAUCCACCAAACUAAUCAUUUUUUUUCCAUCUUUGCAUCUCAAGCACAGAAACCUAAAAAAUUCUAAUUCUUAAUUUCUUCUUUUAAACUUUAUAUUUUCUGAUUGUUGAAUGUUAACGCAUGGUGAAUAUUUAUAAUCAAAUUCAAUGGUACUUGUGAAAAAGUCAUAUUGGGAGGUGGGUCCCCACAUAUGUACCAAAGGGUGACUUUUGGGUUUUCGGGAGAAAAGAUAGUUCACAAAUCAAAGUGAAAUGAUUUUGAGUUUCAAGAAGUAAAAUAGUAACUUUUGAGUUAUUAGGGCAAAGUAAAAUUAAAGUCAAGUUCCAAAGAGCACAACUAAAAAUAAGCAUGCGAAUUACUUCAUUAGGCAUAGACCAUGUUUUCGUGGUCUAAGUGUGUCUAUUCAACUCCUUUUGAGAUUGACCUUCAAAAUCAUAUCCUGCAGAUAUUUCAGAAUAUUUUCGAAACUGAAAUUGAAAUUCACUCUGUAAUGGUCAAAUCAUGUUUUUCAAUAGUCCUAUGCAAUGAUUAAAAAAAUCUAUUGAAUAUCAUCUCGUUCUUGAACUUUCGCUCUUAGUUUUAUUCAGUAUUUUCAUUCUGGUGGAGAUUUGGAAUGACGCAAAUACAUUUAGCGUGGUGAUAUCAUCUAGCUGCAACACUGCAUUGGUAAAGUUAUUUUAGUGGGAUCGUAUCAUUUCAUGUGUGUUUCGACUGUAAUUAUUUCUUUAAUUUUCCAGAAUUGGUAGUCUUUCGAAAACCGAAGGCGAAUUGAGGCCAUGGAGUACGCAAGAAUAAAUGGGCUUGACUUGUUAACCGUUUGUCCUACACUUGUUUUCGGGCCAAUUCUGCAGUACAUUGCAAAUGCAAGUACCUUGGUCCUCAUCAAGCUCUUGAAGGGUACUUAAGUUUUUAUAUAACCACAUGACGCUUAUUUGAAUCUGUUGCUUUAAAAUCUAGGGCUCUUCACAAAAAUAAGCCCCUAUGGAACCCCAUUUUACCACGACCAAAAAAAGAACUCCAUUUCAGAGUUAAAAAACCACAUAAACUUGAUAGGUCACGGAUUUGUUUUUCUGUAGUUUGAUUUUUGAAAUGUUUCUUACUACCAUUAACCAUUACGGGUGCUACCCUAAUUAUGUAUAAAAUCUAAAUAUGUUUAGAUAUAUAGGUAAGUGGUGUUGUAAACUCAUCCUGUGGUAAUUGUCUAUUGUUUAUGCAUUUGGCUCCAUUUUGAUCUCUACAACGCAGGAUCCAGGUUUAUCAUCCAUUCGUGAUCUUCGGGAUCCACAUUAACUGGUUUAGUAUUGUCUCCUCGCAAAAGGGUAUGAGUCACUGGAAAACAAGCUGUGAAUGAUAGUUGCCGUGCGGGAUGUAGCUGAAGCAGUCCUUAUGGCGUAUGAGAAGCCCGAGGCUGAAGGAAGAUAUAUAUGCACCGCUCACAUUAAGGCAAGAGAUCUGGUUGAAGAACUGAGGAGCAUUUAUCCUAAUAAGUAAGGUUUCUUGGAGAGAUUUUCAAAUUAAUUAUGUAUAUAGCGUUAUCGAUCAUCGAUGUCAUCCAACGCAAAAUUAAGUAGAAUGGACAGGGAUUCUUGUUGUAAUGGUUUUCCGUUCAAACUAAUUUUGUAAUUUUGGAUUCGUAUAUCGGCAGCUUUGUUGAAGUAGAAGAACAGCCAAGGUUGAGCUAGGAGAAACUUCAGAGGCUGGGUUUGAGUUUCCGACCUGUUCGUGGCGGAAUGUGGAUCUGGCCCUUCGCACAGCUCCCCAAGGGUUGAUGGCAUUUUGAGUGUGUAUGUUUGGUAGUCGGAUUCUUGCUGCUUGGUGUGCUGCAAGAAGAGUACAAUUUUCGUAUCCAGAUGCUGAUGUCAAAAUUGCGACGUAUAUUCAUAUUCAGGCACAUGAAACGACCCUCGGUUUAACUUUUUUGGUCGGUUUAAAUUUGUGUAACUGUAAACUAACAAGUAUUCAAAAUUGAACUUUAUUGCAACAUAUACAAAAGGCAUUUCAGGGGUAACAUUCCACAGCAUUCCAACUGAUAACACUUCGAACAACACUAUUAUAGUUUAACUCGGUAAACGAUAACUUACAAACUACGCAUCCGGUUUUCGAGCUUUAUUCUUGUUGCCGUAUACCAAUCCAGUCUCCUGAGACGGAAUUCAAGUUGUAAUUUGAAGUAUUUGGCAAGCAAUUGAAAAACUCAAUCAUAAUUUUUUUUCACUUGAAACAGCAUGUUGGAAUGCAUGCAAGUCAUAUCUUUUGUUAAAAUGCAUGCAUGAAAUAAACAUGUUGGAUGACUAGUGAAGUUAGGCUAGUCAACAUUCUUUGUGUAAAUUAGGCAAGUUAGGCAAGUUAGGAAAUUAGGCAAGUUAGGCAAGUUAGGCUUAUCUCUACUUUCUUUUCCUAUAUAUAUGUUUCAUUUGUAAUUGUCUUCAUGAAAUACACAUCAAAAAUUCUACAUGGUAUCAGAGCAGGAACUCUAAAUUCCUGGCUCUGUUGAUCGUUUCCGCUAAGUUUCUUUUACUCUAAGCCAAGAUGGCUGGAGAACAUUAUGAAGCUGAGAGCUCGAUGGAUGCUUUAGCUCUACCUAACGUUGAAAUCAACCCUAAUCAACGUCUCAGUUCUAUUUUGUUGAACGAAUUCAACUAUCUUCCAUGGAGCCGUGCUGUUUCUCUCGCACUUGGAGGGAGAUCAAAGCUUGGCUACGUAAAUGGUGCCAUAAAAGCUCCAGCAGUCACUUCUCCUACCUACGAGUCGUGGCUAUGUAUAGAUUAGUUGGUCAUGUCUUGGUUGCUUAACUCAAUGGAGCGUAGGAUUGCUGAAAUUUUCAGCUAUUCUGAGUCGUCCAUGCAUCUCUGGAAGCAAGUCAAAGAGAUGUAUGGAAAUCAAAAUAAUUCUGCCCGUGUCUUUCAACUUAAGAAGGAUAUUUCGAGCUUGCAACAAGGAGGAAAAGCCUUUGUUCAACAUCUUGGUAACCUUACAAGCAUGUGGAAUGAACUUGAUGUCUAUCGUCCUCAUACCACCGAUGCCACCAUGUUGAUCAAGAGAGCAGAAGAAGACAAGAUUUUUCAACUCUUGGCAAGCUUAGGCUCAGAGUUUGAAGAUCUCAGAAGUCACAUUUUAAUGAAUGUUGAACUUCCUUCAUUCACUGGUGUUUGUGCCAUCAUUCAAAGGGAAGAAGUAAGGAGGAAAGUAAUGAGUCAAGAUACAAAAAAUCCUAUUCCUGAAACUAGAGCAUAUGUCUCCAACAACAAGCGUCCUGAGGGCAAAGUUUAUAAGGGAAAAAGACCAGAUUUGAAGUGCAGCUACUGUGAUUCACUUGGACAUACAAGAGACAGGUGUUGGAUUCUUCAUCCAGAAUUGAAGCCAAAGGGUCCCCAAAGACAGUUGAGUAACAAUGGCUAUAAGGCAAAUUCUGCAGCUAUCUCUUCGACUGAAGGAAUGGUAAACUUCACUACCAAUCCUACAACAUUAAUCAAUGAUUUUGCAGCAUAUCUUCAUAACAAACAGCUGCAUAACAAUGGAGAUGAAGCUCAUGAAGCUACAGUAGCUAAAAAAAAGGAUCACACUGCCUUACUUGGACAAUUUGCUGGUUUCUUGGCUGAGCAUGAUCAUGUUUCGCAGAAGGAUAUUCCAGGUAUUUCAAGUGCCUUAUCUACUGCCUUAAAUGCUAGUAAUGAACAUGAUUAUUGGAUCAUUGACUCAGGUGCUACGGAUCAUAUGACAAAUCAAAUUAAUAACUUGCAUGAUUUCAAAACAUUGUCAAAACCGUCUCAAGUGUCAGUAGCCAAUGGAAAAGGUGCAUUAGUUGUAGGAAAAGGAAAGGUCAACUUACUCUCAAAACACAUAGAGUCAUCAGCUCUUUACAUUCCGUCAUUUCCUUUUCAACUUCUAUCAAUAGGAGCCAUCACCAAUUCUCUAAACUGUCUAGCUAUUUUUUCUCCCCCACAAUGUUGUUUUUCAGGACAUCAUCACCAAGAGAACGAUUGGUGAAGGUUUCUUUUUGAAUGGUCUUUACUACUUAGCUAAAGAUACUAAGGAUCCCAAGGUUUUUCAAGUCAGUUUAAGUGUGUCUCAAGAUCAACAACUUUGGCAUCAACGUUUGGCUCAUCCUUCUGAAAAAGUGAUGUCUUUCUUAUUCCCAAAAUUGUGCAAAGACAAGUUGCACUGUGAUGUUUGUCAUUUGUCUAAAUUUUCCAGGUUGCAUUUUGAGUCCUCCACCAAUAAAGCCAGUCAUCCGUUUGAAAUCAUUCAUUCAGAUAUUUGGGGUCCAAUACUAGAGUCAUUUGAUGGAUAUAGAUAUUUUGUAACCUUUGUUGAUGAUUUCACAAAAAUGACUUGGUUGUAUCUUUUGAAAUUUAAGAGUGAACUUCCAAUUGUUUUUCAAGAUUUUCAUAAACUGGUUGGCACUCAAUUUGCAUCAAAAAUUCAUAUAUUAAGAUCCGACAAUGGCACUGAGUAUAUGUCCCAUAACAUGUCUCAAUACUUGAGUAUUCAUGGCAUCUUGCAUCAAACAACAUGUGUUGGCACACCUCAACAAAAUGGAGUGGCUGAAAGAAAAAAUAGAGAUCUUCUUGAGAAGACAAGAUCAAUCAUGUUUCAUAUGAAUGUACCCAAGAAAUUUUGCUCACAAGGAGUACUUACAGCUGCCUAUCUUAUUAAUAGAUUGCCUAGCAAAAUACUCAGUUUCAAGUCCCCAUUUGAGAUGCUAAAAGGCAGAAAAAUUGAUCUUUCACACUUGAGAGUUUUUGGCUCCACCUGCUUUGUUCACAACAAAUCCCCUCAUCAUGAUAAAUUAGAUCCUAGAGCUAUCAAAUGUAUUUUCUUGGGUUACUCAUCCACUCAAAAAGGCUACAAGUGUACAAUCCAAUCACAAAUAAGCUUCUAGUUUCAAGGGAUGUAAGGUUUAAUGAAAAUAUGUCCUACUUCUCAAAGAAACUAAGUGAUGCAGAUCAGGGGCAGUUUUUGAGUGAUAUGUUUCCAUUGCCUAUUGUCCCGUACUACCAAGAAAAUCCUCCAUCAUGUGACACUACAAGUCCAUCACCUGAACAUGCUCCAUCCCAAGUCACAAAUGUUGAGCAUCCAGUCCAGAUUCGUCGAAACCCUUCUAGGGUUCGUCAACCCCCACUUCGACUACAUGAUUAUGUCACCUACACCUCUAGGUAUCCUCUCACAGAUUUUGUUUCCUAUAAGCAGUUUUCACCCUCUCAUAUCUCAUUUCUUAGUGCCUUGGAUCAUACUCAUGAACCACAAACAUUUCAAGAAGCAAGUAAACAUAAAGUUUGGCAAACUGCAAUGAGGGACGAACUGCAAGCUCUUCAUGAAAACAAAACCUGGAGUGUAAUUAAACUUCCCACAUGGAAGAAAGUAGUGGGUAGCCGUUGGGUGUACAAGACAAAGUUCAACUCAGAUGGGACUAUUGAAAGACACAAAGCUUGUUUAGUGGCUCGUGGUUUUACUCAGACUUAUGGCUUGGAUUACAAGGAAACCUUUGUUCCCGUAGCCAAAAUGAACACUGUAAGGGUUAUCUUGUCAGUUGCUGUGAAUCAAUCUUGGCCUCUCUAUCAAAUGGAUGUGAAGAAUGCUUUUUUGCAUGGGGAAUUAGAGGAGGAAGUGUACAUGAAACUACCACCAGGGCAUCCUCAAUCGAGCGAUCCUGACAUGGUUUGUAAACAGCACAAAUCUAUUUAUGGUCUGAAACAGUCUCCACGUGCCUGGUAUGCAAAACUAAGCUCAGUCCUUGAAGAGUUUGGCUUCCAAAGAAGCAGUGCAGAUUCCUCCCUAUUUGUUUGUAAUGGCUCAGUUGGAAAAGUCGUUGUUUUAAUCUAUGUAGAUGAUCUCAUAGUGACAGGUGACAAUGAUGCAGAAAUCCAAUCUCUCAAGCUUUCUCUUCGAAACAAAUUUGCAAUCAAGGAUUUGGGGCACCUCAAAUAUUUCCUUGGUAUUGAACUUGCGACUUCACAUCAAGGUCUCUUUCUCAAUCAAAGAAAAUAUAUCCUUGAUCUCUUGCAGGAAUCUAACUUAAUGGAUUGUAAACCUGCACGCACUCCUCUGGAUAGUAAGCUGCAACUCACUACUCACAGUGAAGUUCUUUCCAAUGUUACUGAAUAUCAAAGAUUGGUAGGAAACCUUAUUUAUCUCACAAUCACGCGGCCAGAUAUUUCCUAUGCUGUGUGUAUUGUGAGUCAGUUUAUGCAUGCUCCUACAUCAGUUCAUACGCAGAUUGUGAAGAGAAUUCUUCGUUAUCUAAAAGCGUCUGUUGGUCGCGGGAUCCUUAUGAUAAAGAAUGAUAGCACUGCCAUCAUGGGUUACACAGAUGCUGAUUGGGCUGGGCACUCUCUUGAUCGCAAAUCAACCACAGGUUUUUGUACCUUUGUAGGUGGAAACUUGGUAACAUGGCGCAACAAGAAGCAAAGCGUUGUAGCUCGUUCCAGUGCAGAGGCCGAGUAUCGAGCUAUGGCAUCCACUGCUUGUGAACUUAUUUGGCUAAAAAGUCUUCUGUUUGAUUUAGGGUUUCACAGUAAGGAACCUAUAUCUAUGUUCUGUGACAAUCAAGCUGCCAUGCAUAUUGCUUCCAAUCCUGUAUUUCACGAGCGAACGAAGCAUAUUGAAGUGGAUUGUCAUUAUGUUCGAGCACAGGUUCAAGCCAACAUCAUCAACACUCAUUACACUCGCAGUCAUGAUCAAUUGGCUGACAUUUUUACUAAACCUCUUCCUACGGCUCAGUUCAUGCGCAUUCUGUCCAAGCUUGGCUCAAGGAAUCCCCUCGAUCCAGCUUGAUGGGGAGUGUUGGAAUGCAUGCAAGUCAUAUCUUUUGUUAAAAUGCAUGCAUGAAAUAAACAUGUUGGAUGACUAGUGAAGUUAGGCUAGUCAACAUUCUUUGUGUAAAUUAGGCAAGUUAGGCAAGUUAGGAAAUUAGGCAAGUUAGGCAAGUUAGGCAAGUUAGGCUUAUGUCUACUUUCUUUUCCUAUAUAUAUGUUUCAUUUGUAAUUGUUUCUUCAAGAAAUACACAUAAAAAAUUCUACACAGCAGAAACUCAGAUAUGAAACAGUACCUGAGGAUCGACGAUCGGUUUCUGUUUCUUUACGUAAGCAUGGGGAUCCGCAGAGGCCAGAGCGGCCCUUUCCUGCUGUUCCCGCUUGAGGUCCUGUGAGGGCUUCACCCAGAGGAAGUAGGCUAGCGUACCAGCUACCACCCAUGACGCCAGGUUGCUUCCUCCUCUCAGGCCUCCCGUCGAAUUCGAUACGAAGGACCUCACAUUUCCCAAUCUUCUCUUCCAUGUGCUCGUCAUUGAUGUCAAUUUCGUCGCCUCUCUCGCCGAUAUGGGGAUUCGGGAGUUAUAGGGUUUUUUAUUUCUCUGAUCCCCCUUUGCAUGAUUUAUGCUAUUUCCAAACUAUAACACCGAAACGGUGGAGGCAGG